rnacentral:rRNA from 1 species
AUUGAACGCUGGCGGCAGGCCUAACACAUGCAAGUCGAACGGUAACAGGAUGAAGCUUUCUUCUUUUCUGGCGAGUGGCGGGUGGGUGAGUAAUGUCUGGGAAACUGCCUGCUGUAGGGGGAUAUCUACUGGAAACGGUAGCUAAUACCUCAUAACUUCGCAUGCCCAAUGAGGGUGACCUUCUGUCCUCUUUCCAUCGUAUGUUCCCAGAUGGUAGUAGUUUGUAUGUGGGGUAACGUCUCACCUCGUCGACGAUCCGUCGCUGGUCUGAGGGAAUGAACAGCGACACGGGAAGUGAGACACGGACAAGACUCCUACGGGAGGCAGCAGAGGGGAAUAGUGGACAAUGGGCGCAAGCAUGAUGCAGCCAGGGCGAGUGUAUGAAGAAGGCCUUGGGGUUGUAAAGUACGUUCAGCGGGGAGAAAGGGAGUAAGGUUAAGACCUAUGCUGAGUGACGGUACCGGCAGAAGAAGCACCGGCUAACUACGUG